rnacentral:rRNA from 1 species
GACGAACGCUGGCGGCGUGCUUAACACAUGCAAGUCGAACGGUAAGGCCCUUUCGGGGGUACACGAGUGGCGAACGGGUGAGUAACACGUGGGUGAUCUGCCCUGCACUUUGGGAUAAGCCUGUGAAACUGGGUCUAAUACCGGAUAGGACUACGCGAUGCAUGUCGUGUGGUGGAAAGCUUUUGCGGUGUGGGAUGGGCCCGCGGCCUAUCAGCUUGUUGGUGGGGUGAUGGCCUACCAAGGCGACGACGGGUAGCCGGCCUGAGAGGGUGUCCGGCCACACUGGGACUGAGAUACGGCCCAGACUCCUACGGGAGGCAGCAGUGGGGAAUAUUGCACAAUGGGCGCAAGCCUGAUGCAGCGACGCCGCGUGGGGGAUGACGGCCUUCGGGUUGUAAACCCCUUUCAGCACAGACGAAGCGUAAGUGACGGUAUGUGCAGAAGAAGCACCGGCCAACUACGUG